UACGUAGGGUGCAAGCGUUGUCCGGAAUUAUUGGGCGUAAAGAGCUCGUAGGCGGUUUGUUGUGUCGGCUGUGAAAUCCCGAGGCUCAACCUCGGGUCUGCAGUCGAUACGAGCAAACUAGAGUGUUGCAGGGGAGACUGGAAUUCCUGGUGUAGCGGUGAAAUGCGCAGAUAUCAGGAGGAACACCGGUGGCGAAGGCGGGUCUCUGGGCAACAACUGACGCUGGAGGAGCGAAAGCGUGGGGAGCGAACAGG
rnacentral:rRNA from 1 species